rnacentral:rRNA from 1 species
GAAACCGCGAAUGGCUCAUUAAAUCAGUUAUGGUUCCUUAGAUCGUUUCUUCCUACUUGGAUAACUGUGGCAAUUCUAGAGCUAAUACAUGCAGUGAGCCUGGAGCCCUUUGGGUAACGGGUGCUUUUAUUAGACCAAGAUCGAUCGGGUUUCGGCCCGUAUUGUGUGGUGACUCUGGAUAACUUUGUGCUGAUCGCAUGGCCACGAGCCGGCGACGUUUCUUUCAAGUGUCUGCCUUAUCAACUUUCGAUGGUAGGUUACUUGCUUACCAUGGUUGUUACGGGUAACGGAGAAUCAGGGUUCGAUUCCGGAGAGGGAGCCUGAGAAACGGCUACCACAUCCAAGGAAGGCAGCAGGCGCGCAAAUUACCCACUCCCGGCACGGGGAGGUAGUGACGAAAAAUAACAAUACGGGACUCUUUUGAGGCCCCGUAAUUGAAAUGAGUACACUCUAAAUCCUUUAACGAGGAUCAAUUGGAGGGCAAGUCUGGUGCCAGCAGCCGCGGUAAUUCCAGCUCCAAUAGCGUAUACUAAAGCUGCUGCGGUUAAAAAGCUCGUAGUUGGAUCUCAGUUCCAGACGAGUAGUGCAUCUACCCGAUGCGACGGCUCGGACUGAACAUCAUGCCGGUUCUUUCUUGGUGCACUUCAUUGUGUGCCUCGAGAUGGCCGGUGCUUUUACUUUGAAAAAAUUAGAGUGCUCAACGCAGGCGAGUCGCCUGAAUAAACUUGCAUGGAAUAAUAGAACAAGACCUCGUUUCUGUUCUGUUGGUUUUUGGAAUACGAGGUAAUGAUUAAGAGGGACGGACGGGGGCAUUCGUAUUGCGGCGCUAGAGGUGAAAUUCUUGGACCGUCGCAAGACGAACUACUGCGAAAGCAUUUGCCAAGAAUGUUUUCAUUGAUCAAGAACGAAAGUCAGAGGUUCGAAGGCGAUCAGAUACCGCCCUAGUUCUGACCAUAAACGAUGCCAACCAGCGAUCCGCCUGAGUUACUCAAAUGACUCGGCGGGCAGCUUCCGGGAAACCAAAGUAUUUGGGUUCCGGGGGAAGUAUGGUUGCAAAGCUGAAACUUAAAGGAAUUGACGGAAGGGCACCACCAGGAGUGGAGCCUGCGGCUUAAUUUGACUCAACACGGGAAAACUUACCCGGCCCGGACACUGGGAGGAUUGACAGAUUGAGAGCUCUUUCUUGAUUCGGUGGAUGGUGGUGCAUGGCCGUUCUUAGUUGGUGGAGCGAUUUGUCUGGUUAAUUCCGAUAACGAACGAGACUCUAGCCUAUUAAAUAGGUGCGGGGUUCCCAGCACCUUACAACCUUCUUAGAGGGACAAGCGGCUCCUAGCCGCACGAAACAGAGCAAUAACAGGUCUGUGAUGCCCUUAGAUGUCCGGGGCCGCACGCGCGCUACACUGAAGGAAGCAGCGUGUCUUUAUCCCUGUCUGAAAAGACUGGGUAACCCGUGGAACUUCUUUCGUGAUUGGGAUAGGGGCUUGCAAUUGUUCCCCUUGAACGAGGAAUUCCCAGUAAGCGCGAGUCAUAAGCUCGCGUUGAUUACGUCCCUGCCCUUUGUACACACCGCCCGUCGCUACUACCGAUUGAAUGAUUUAGUGAGGUCUUCGGACCGAUGUCCGGCGCGGCCUUUCGGUUGCGCCGGUCUGUUGGAAAGAUGACCAAACUUGAUCAUUUAGAGGAAGUAAAAGUCGUAAC